CAGUCGCCGCGGGAAUACGUAGGGUGCGAGCGUUAAUCGGAAUUACUGGGCGUAAAGCGUGCGCAGGCGGUUAUGUAAGACAGGUGUGAAAUCCCCGGGCUUAACCUGGGAACUGCGCUUGUGACUGCACAGCUAGAGUAUGGCAGAGGGGGGUGGAAUUCCACGUGUAGCAGUGAAAUGCGUAGAGAUGUGGAGGAACACCGAUGGCGAAGGCAGCCCCCUGGGCCAAUACUGACGCUCAUGCACGAGAGCGUGGGGAGCAAACAGGAUUAGAUACCCCCGUAGUCCCUGUCUCUUAUAC
rnacentral:rRNA from 1 species